GACGAACGCUGGCGGCGUGGAUUAGGCAUGCAAGUCGAACGGUAUCAUCCUUUCGGGGGUGAGAGAGUGGCGAACUGGUGAGUAACACGUAGGUUAUCUACCCUCAAGACGGGGACGAACCCAGGGAAACUUGGGCUAAUACCGGAUGUGAGCAACUUUUAGUUGUUUGAAAGGUGGCGUAAGCUGUCGCUUGGGGAUGAGCCUGCGUCCUAUUAGUUAGUUGGUGAGGUAACGGCUCACCUAGGCAAUGAUAGGUAGGCGGCCUUAACGGGUGGUCGCCCACACUGGGAUUGAGAUACGGCCCAGACUCCUACGGGAGGCAGCAGUCGAGAAUAGUCUACAAUGGUCGGAAGACUGAUAGUGCGACGCCGCGUGAACGAUGAAUCCCUUCGGGUGUAAAGUUCUUUUAUAUGUGAGCAGUGCUUCUUAUAUUAACAGUAUGGGGAGAGAGAUAUUAGCAUAUGAAUAAGCAACGGCUAACUCCGUGCCAGCAGCCGCGGUAAACUCGU
rnacentral:rRNA from 1 species